GUGUUUGUUCCCGUGAUCAGCCUUGAGCAAGCCAGAGCACUGAUGGAUCUGCUGGAGUUCAACUCACACACUUCAGUCAGGAACAAGAAGUUUAUCUGCAGUCACAAAUAUAGAGAAAAGAAGUUGUACAAAUAGCUGAAGGCGCAGCAGCCAGUGUUCCUCAUCCUUUAGCUUAUGUGGAUGGCAGCAUUCACUAUCAGUUUCACAC